rnacentral:rRNA from 1 species
UACGUAGGGGGCUAGCGUUGUCCGGAAUCAUUGGGCGUAAAGAGCGUGUAGGCGGUCCGGUAAGUCCGUUGUGGAAGUCAAGGGCUCAACCCUUGAAUGCCGGCGGAUACUGUCGGGCUAGAGUCCGGAAGAGGCGAGUGGAAUUCCUGGUGUAGCGGUGGAAUGCGCAGAUAUCAGGAGGAACACCAAUAGCGAAGGCAGCUCGCUGGGACGUUACUGACACUGAGGCGCGAAAGCGUGGGGAGCGAACAGG